AUUUCUUCCAUUGACACAUUUAAUCUUUUUUCAUACAACAUUAAGACCAUCCUAGAAUGUUUCUUGUUUCCAAGCCCCUUAAUGGAGACAAUUACACAACAUGGUGUCACUUAAUUGGGAUCACUGUAACACCGUAUUCCUUACUGUAGAUUUCCUUCUCUUGCUUCCCCAGAACAGUGGAGUUUAGCCAAUUGGAGCUUUAAAAACCAUCAACCUGAUUCUCAAUAUUAACAUCUGCAAAACUGGCUGCAAAAUACCAACUCCCAGAUACCACCUUUCCAUUCAUUUAAUCCAUAAUCACAAGCUCCUCCUAGAAUCAUAAUAAUCAUAAUCAAUCAUAACUUCACUUUCCCAAAUUAAAUAUCCAAUAAAAAUUC
rnacentral:misc_RNA from 1 species